AGAGAAGCGAUACCGCGAGGAGGAGCAAAUCUGAAAAAAGCGUCCCUAGUUCGGAUUGUAGGCUGAAACUCGCCUACAUGAAGCUGGAAUUGCUAGUAAUCACAGGUCAGCAUACUGUGGUGAAUACGUUCCCGGGCCUUGUACACACCGCCCGUCACACCAUGAGAGUUUGUAACACCCAAAGCCGGUGGGGUAACCUUUUGGAGCCAGCCGUCUAAGGUGGGACAGAUGAUUGGGGUGAAGUCGUAACAAGGUAGC
rnacentral:rRNA from 1 species